rnacentral:rRNA from 1 species
AGCGAACGCUGGCGGCAUGCCUAACACAUGCAAGUCGCACGGGGGGGCUUCGGCCUCCCAGUGGCGGACGGGUGAGGAACGCGUAGGGACCUGUCGAGGGGUGGGGGAUAACCGCGGGAAACUGCGGCUAAUACCGCAUGACGCCGCGGCGUGACAGCCGGGGCCAAAGGCGAAAGCCGCCCGCCGAGGGGCCUGCGUCCGAUUAGCUGGUUGGCGGGGUAGCGGCCCACCAAGGCGUCGAUCGGUAGCUGGUCUGAGAGGGUGAUCAGCCACACCGGGACUGAGACACGGCCCGGACUCCUACGGGAGGCAGCAGUGGGGAAUAUUGGACAAUGGGCGCAAGCCUGAUCCAGCAAUGUCGCGUGGGUGAAGAAGGUCUUCGGAUUGUAAAGCCCUUUCGGCGGGGACGAUGGUGACGGUACCCGCAGAAGAAGCCCCGGCUAACUUCGUG